GGGGCCGUAGUUCAGCUGGUAGAACGCCUGAUUUGCAUUCAGGAGGUCAGCGGUUCAACUCCGCUCGGCUCCA
rnacentral:tRNA from 2 species